ACUUGGAUACUGCGGUAAUUCUGGAGCUAAUACAUGCAUCUAAGCCCCGACUCACGGAGGGGCGCGUUUAUUAGACUAAAACCAAACGGCUUCGGCCGUCUCCCUGGUGAUUCUGAAUAACCGCAAGCGGAUCGCAUGGCCUUGCGCCGGCGACGUUCCCUUCCAAGGUGUGCCCUAUCAACUGUCGACUGUGGCAUAGACGCCCACAGUGGUUUUGACGGGUAACGGGGAAUUAGGGUUCGAUUCCGGAGAGGGAGCCUGAGAAACGGCUACCACUUCUAAGGAAGGCAGCAGGCACGCAAAUUACCCACUGGCCGAAGGUCGAGGUAGUGACGAAAAAUAACGAUACCAGACUCAUCCGAGGCCUGGUAAUCGGAAUGAGCACACUUUAAAUCCUUUAACGAGGAACCAUU
rnacentral:rRNA from 1 species